AAGACGGCUCCGCCACAAGACCCGGACGGGAUUGUGAUGAAUACGGUGACUGAAGCAAUGAAACUCACGGAGUCCUUUGUUAGAUUGAUGACUGUUCGUCGCAGAACUGCGCUACUAGGCCUUAUCCCAACUGUCACCACAGGCUCGGCGGUAGCAGUUUGAUGGCAAACCAUAUCUAUGCUUCAGAAAGAGAGUCACAAGUUCCUUGGAAGAUUAAUUGCAAGUCUGAAUCGGAUCAAGUUUACCCAUAUGCAAUACAUGCAACUUUGUAUUAUAUUAAUACAGUUUUCAUGCGACAGUUCAGGUAGAC